UGAUAGACCUGCUGGCAUCUGGAGUAGGAGGAUGGGAUCUUGGAUGGGCAAGAGGACCACCAUGUCCCUGGCCACCAGCACCGUUCAGUCAGUGUGUGUGCUGAGCACAACAGAGCCCUGCAAAGGCCCUCAUUUGAGGGUGGCUCAGACUAACAGCCUUACUUUUGAAGUCUGAGCCAGGAAACAAGCCCCACAUCCUGAGAUCAAUGCCAGGUGAGCACCCGGCUCAGGAAAGUAACAGUGAAAAACCAGUAUCCAUUGCCAUGAAUGGAAUAAGUUAAAAAUCAUACCAAGCAAUGGCCACUCCGGUGAAGUCACAACCUGCUGGCAGGGACUCUGCAAGGAAAAAAAGCAUCUAAAUCCAUUGGAUAAAUUAUCUGUUGCAAAUUAUUUAUCCAGCUCUAAUUAGUAAUCUUCAUUUUACACAGUAGGCCUCUAGUGACCUGCUUGACAACUAUGAUGCCUGACAGACAGUAGGGAUUUGCAUGAAAAUGAGUGUUGUUUCCUCCCUUCGAAGCCAUAAAACAGCAGCAGCAAGGAUGCUCUGCUUUGCUGUGCAGAAGUGGGAUAACCAUGCAGCAAGCUCUGGGUGAAAGGAGAUAAUUCAGCUGUGUGUGAGGAAACAGAGAAAGAAGGAAGCACUAAUCUGAACCAGAAAUAACAGCACCCAGUGCACAAACAAGCCUAAUCAGAUCGGUUGCUAAGUGGAGUCAUGUGAAUAGCAGAUGAUGGAGCAGAAGCACAAGAUAGAGCUCAAUGAAAGCAUGGGGACCUGGCACAGAGAGGGCUUGCAGUCUUUUCUGUGAUUGAAUUAACUUUUGCCUUUUUAUAGGGAGGAUUUUUGAAUUUUGGACCUGUUUCAAGAGUGUUACCAUGUCCUGUCUGCCCAUGAUUGACAGGGUUUGGCUCUUUGUCUGCCUUGUAUUUCCUGGAUUCAUACAGACGAUGCUCUUGCCAGUCAGUAGGGCUCAGAUAAGGUUAAAAAGAGCAAGAGAAAACCAGGAGAAGACCAGAAGUCUGUCCCCCUGCAGUUCUAAGGCCUUCUUUCUUUCCCAGAGAGCUGCAGUAUUUUUGGUGAUUUCAGCAGUGUUUUGCCCAGCACAGCCCAGCACUUCUUGAGCUUCGACAGCUCAGUGCACCUGGAAUUUAUUACUUGGCAAAGCUGGCAACUUCUCUCAACUGGGAAGGUGUUCUGGAGGUGGGGAUUUAUCCUUCCUUUCCUUCUGGACAACUCACUGCAGUGAAUCCAGGAGUGGUCAGGGCAGCUGGGAUCAGGAAUAACAUUGCAUCAAUUCAUGAAGAAAAAAGUGGGUUGUAGUUGCUGGUCAUCCUGUUCACUUUGAUUUUUCAUUUAGCAAUUUGGCAAAUGAUCUUCCCAGCACAGAAGAUAAGACAUGGAAGAACCCACCUCCAGCUGCUUCCUUGUGGAUUGAUCCCAUUCCUCUGUCACGUGUUGCUGAUCUGAGUUCGUGCUAGCUGGAUGUACUGAGCACACAGUAUGUGUCAUCUGGGUUGGCCUCUGCCCCCCGAGCUGCUGGCAGGGCUCAUUGCUGGGAGCGCACCAUCCUGAGUGAGCAGUGCAGCAGCAGUAGCCAUGGGUUUACAACCUCACGGACUUGCUAUCAAAACACAUGGGUCGCUCUGGGGACUGAUGCAUUUGGCACCUGGAUGUACCCCCUGGGCUGCAAAGAGCGCAGGGGAAGGCCCACUGCAAAAUGAGGAGCCCCUGCUCAGAUCGUGGGCAUCAGGACUGGCCUCCCCAUUGCAUUGGAAGUGUUUUGAUUUUGUUUCCUUUGCAGAGCACAACAGAUUUUGAAACUUCAGAAGUUGCCAUGAAACAAACUCUCUGUUUGCCAGCCAGCUCUCUCUGCGGGUCAUGGCUAGCCCUUGCUUAAACCUUUUGAAGUCAGAAAUAACACAGAAGAAGCCUCUGUCUCUGCACAGAUUUGUAUGGAGAAAUGUGACUUGUGAUCAUCUUUUGAAACAAACUUAACUAUUGGGUUUAUUACUUUCCAUGUUCCGUCCCUCCUUACUCUCAAAGAUCUGCGAAAAGCACCACACCUUACAUAUGGGAAGUGAGCUGCUGCGGUGUGGCAUGCAAUGUGAGCAUGGCAGUGCCCUCUGCUUCUCAUUCCCAGGAGCAGGGGAUGCCAUCUGCCAAUUUUUUUUUUUUUUAAACCAGGCUCAGGGUUUGAUCUAAGAGAGAAUUAUAAUUUCAGUGUCUGAUUCAGAAUGCACCGCCACUGCUGAAUAUUUAUAAAUAAAGGACUUUUUCCAAAUCAA